AAACCGUUGAAAGGGAAGCGAAUGGGGUUAGCAAUUCGCCCUGCCAGAUUCAGUUGCCCGCGCUGCGCGACGUGCGCGCUCUCGAUCCCCAUGGACGCGAGCGUCGCACACUACGCGUCUAGGAUGCUGACGGCCAUACGGCUCCAUCCGACCCGUCUUGAAACACGGACCAAGGAGUCUAACAUGUGCGCGAGUCUCCGGGUGAUCGAAACCCGUGGGCACAAUGAAGGUAAAGAUCGUCCAAGACGAUUGAGGUGAGAAGCGGCGCCCCGGCGUCGCGGCAUCAUCGACCGACCUAUUCUGCUCUCAGAAAGGUUUGAGUAAGAGCGUAUCUGUUGGGACCCGAAAGAUGGUGAACUAUGCCUGAAUAGGGUGAAGCCAGCGGAAACACUGGUGGAAGCUCGUAGCGAUUCUGACGUGCAAAUCGAUCGUCGAAUUUGGGUAUAGCGGCGAAAGACUAAUCGAACCAUCUAGUAGCUGGUUCCCUCCGAAGUUUCCCUCAGGAUAGCUGGAG
rnacentral:rRNA from 1 species